AACAUCAUGAAAAAUAGAAACUCUUUUAAUCUCUAACAUGUCCUUCAAGCUGGGUUAUGCGACUCAUCUCUUUCAUUCUUAUUUCCGUCUAUGUUCACAAUUCGCAACGCCGGCGACAUUCCAAGAGAACAUUCGAUACGACAGCGACAUCCCAUUCUAUCUUCCUUUCAUUCUUUCUCUUCCUCCUUCUUUUUUCCACCAUAAAAUCUAUCUCCAUCUUCUCAAAGGCAUUCUACAUCACAGAUAAGAACUUGAUUCGCCAUCGUGACAUUUUCCUUCUUCAUGGUUGUGUGCUAUUUUUCCAUUUACUUCUCAUUAAUUGAUUAAAAAAACUAAAAACCCCAAUUUUAUUUGGAAAUCCUAACUCUUCCUCUAUGAAAAAUCUGAAAAUCAGAUUUUCUAUAAAAGGUUAACGACAUAGUUGUUUUACUUCACCAUUUGAUCCAGUUUAUGUUCUUUAACUUUAAAGAACCAAUUUUUAUUUAUAACAUUAAAUCAUUUUCUUCAUAAAUUUGAGAUUGGUUUACUUAUUGUUAAUCUUUGGUUGAUUGGAAAUGUUUAAUUUGAUAUCAGAUCUGAUUUUUUUAUUAUAUAUUUAUGUAUCUCUUAUAUCCUCUUCCACUUUUGUAAAUCCGAUAUGCUAUUAUCUUUGGGGUAUCGUUAAUGAAACUGGUUUAGAAUUCACACGGUGUCCUUUUAUUUUUUGUUUUCAUUGUGAAGUUAUGAGUUUCAAAAACACUCUUUACAUAUUUGGGAGUUUUUUUUAUCAUUUUGUUGGAACCCUUGGUAACUAGGAGGAAUACAUGGCUUAACACUGACCACUAAUUGUUAAGAGUAACCAGUACCUCCGCACAAAAGAAGGGACGGGAGUAGAUCAAUUGAUUUAGAACUGACAACAUUAUCAAGUGUCGAUCAUAUCGAAAUGGUUCCAAGCGAUGCAGACUUUCAACACAGAAACAUUGUUCAAGAAAUAGUCAAAGAAAUGGCUAAAAAUAGACCCAUUGAUACUAAACGGGAAGAAAAAAUUUAAAGAUAUAUGGCUCUCCACCUUGGCUUGUAUGAUAAUUGUGGUUGAUUCAAAUUCCGCUAUGCUAUAGCCGCUAUUUGACAAUACAAUUUUAGAUUAUCCGCUUUUGUAAAUGUAAUGAAUGACAACUAUAUCACUUUAUGGGAUUCGGUCAUGUUCUAUGCUAAGAAUUAUUAUAUAUGAUUAAUUAUUGAAAAA